rnacentral:sRNA from 1 species
CUGCUAAGCUAUCGCUGCCAACCUAUCUAUCGCUGCCAACCUAUCUAUCGCUGCCAAUUUAUCUACCACUGCCAAUCUAUCUAUUGCUGCUAAUCUAUCGCUGCUGUCAAUCUAUCUAUCGCUGCUAAUCUAUCGCCGCUGCCAAUCUAUCCCUCACUGCUAAGCUAUCCCUCGCUGCUAAGCUAUCACUGCCAAUCUAUCACUGCUAAUCUAUCGCUGCCAACCUAUCUACCGCGGCGAAUCUAUCUAUCGCUGCCAAUUUAUCUACCACUGCCAAUCUAUCUAUCGCUGCCAAUCUAUUGCUGCUAAUCUAUCGCUGCUAAUCUAUCGCUGCUGCCAAUCUAUCUAUCGCUGCUAAUCUAUCGCCGCUGCCAAUCUAUCCCUCGCUGCUAAGCUAUCCCUCACUGCUAAGCUAUCCCUCACUGCUAAGCUAUCUCUCACUGCUAAGCUAUCCCUCGCUGCUAAGCCAUCCCUCACUACUAAGCUAUCUAUCACUGCUAAUCUAUUGCUGCCAACCUAUCUAUCACUGCCAAUCUAUCUAUCGCUGCUAAUCUAUCGCUGCUAAUCUAUCACUGCUAAUCUAUCGCUGCCAACCUAUCUAUCGCUGCCAAUUUAUCUACCACUGCCAAUCUAUCUAUUGCUGCUAAUCUAUUGCUGCUGCCAAUCUAUCUAUCGCUGCUAAUCUAUUGCUGCUGCUAAUCUAUCUAUCGCUGCUAAUCUAUCGCUGCUAAUCUAUCGCUGCUAAUCUAUCGCUGCUAAUCUAUCGCUGCUAAUCUAUCGCUGCCAACCUAUCUACCGCGGCGAAUCUAUCUAUCACUAUCAUUACUAGUUCAAAAUAGAACUAGAGCAUAAAUACACUAAACUUCUUUUGAUAGGUAAUGAUUUUUGGUAACGCUCAUAGCAUUAUAUCAUCUAUAUAGGGUAAAUCAUGGUUCCAUUUGGUCCCAUUUUAACAAAAUGGGACCAAAUGGGACCAGAAUCAGUAAUUUAUAAGAAGAACAUGACCUGAGACUAGAUUUAUAAUAUAAACAGUGUAAAGUGACUAAUUUAAUAAACACUAUAUGGAAUC